GGCUGUAGCGAUGAACGGCCCUCUGGCACUGGGCACUUCAGCACGUUGAGGCCCUUCUCUGUCUCCUCAGCUGUGCACGGGGAAGGCCCAGGUGAGUCGUUCAUCUGCUCUGAAGACAGGAAAGGGCCUCCGCGCGGCCCUGUGCAGGUCUGUGGACUCCAGGCCACUGCUUGUCUGCGUGAACGGUGAGCAUGGUGUGGCGGAGGUAACACACACAGAAAGCGGAGCCAGACCAAUAGCAACCUGCACGCACAUGAGCAGAAAAUGCAUACAGAGGCCAUAUCUCUUGGGGAGUUUGCAUUGUAAAAUGUCAUUAUAGGAAAUCUGGGGGAAACACAAGAGAAAGAAGCAAUCAUUUGGAGUGCCAUCCACUGGACAAAACCAUGGUGAACAUUUUUGCCAUAUUUUCUUUGAGAACUUUCUUGGAAAAAGUGUAUCACCUAGGACACCUUACCAUGCCUCAGGUGGGGAUGGAUGAAUGUCACUGACCCUGGACAAGCAUCACUUGAUUUCUUCUCAUCCUCUGUCGGGAGAACUUACCACAGCCCACCUGAUAAUCUCUGUUAGACAUAGUAAAUGCCAAGGAGUGUGACUGCUGUUGUAUGGCAAGUGAGAAGCAGCCCCACUCUUCUCCAAGGCAGCCUACCUGCCACUCCACCCGAGGAGCAGAGAGAGGUCUGGUUCGUCAGCGUCCUCACCUGCAUGGUGCUGUCAUCGUCUAUCUUGGCCAUUCUGACAGGCUGCAAGAUAGUGUUUGUGGAUGGGCAGCAGGAAAACACGCGAGGGACCUCAGAGCACAGGACAUCCCUGCCGGGAUCCUCGUGAGGAUCAAAGUCACAAAGCCUUGUCACUCGGGGUGUCACUCGACAGCAUGCGAGGGCCUGCUCACCACGUUCUGAGGACCAGGUCCCACCCAGCGCCCUGGGCAAGGCGACCUUGGGACCCCACUCCACAGCCAAGCCACAGGCCGGCCCGCUUUCAGCGCUGGGCUGGCUGGUGUCUCACCAUGGAGAUGGUGGUCAGCAGCCCAGGAUCUGCUGUCAGAUCUUUGCCUGAUCUGCUGAAGCAUCUUUGCCUGUGUCCUCCUCCUCUAAGCAAGGCUUGGCAGCAGAGGCAGGUACAUGGCUGCAUGGGCAGCAUGCCUCUUUUGGGGUGCGGCACGCAGCCCCCAAUGAACAUGGUCUCCUGAGUCCGGCCGGCAUGGCCUGCCAUGCCGGUGUGGUCCCUGGUUAGCUUGUCAUCUGUCCACUAGGGAGGAUCCCACAUCUGGUGUCACCCCUCCCUGUGGCCCAGGUGACUCACAAGGCAGACCACAGGAUGGUGUAUCCGAAUGAGUGUGAAAGGGCCGCGCACCCCCAGCCUGGCUGCCCGCCUCCCAGGGGACAGCCACAGACCCAGGAGCCAAUGUACUGGACGGCACACACGGAGGCGACGCAGGUGAGACGGGUGAUCGCACGCUGUCUGCGGUCCGACUCUGUGACCCUGGGGUCAGUAGGGUAGGAAGCAGAGGUUGGCAACCACAUCUCUGACAUCCUGGGAUAGCACGUCCCUUCAGGAGGUCCCGGAAAUGUCACUAUUUCAGCAAAUGACAACUAAACAGAUGGUCGGUAUUAUGCUAGGAUGUCGGGAGCCACAAACAUGAAAGAAGGGAGACUGAGGGGGUGAGGAAAACCUCACACAAGUGGGUGCACACAGCACCCACCCCGUCCCACGGGCACGAGGGUCCCAGGGCCCCUGCCUUUCACAGGCUCCUCUCAGACGCAGCCCUGCUCCGAGCACCUCGCGCCUCCUGACCGGCUCAGCUGCUUCCCUGCGCCUGAUUCCACCAGCCCACCACUCCUGCCCUGGGCCCUGGACCCUGGCCUUCCUGGGGCCAGGCUGCCCUCAUAGCCUGGGGAAACAGAAGCUGACAACCCCCAGGCCUUCCCAGGGCCCGGCCACCAAGGACAAAGGGGGACACCGGCGGCUGUGUCAUGGUUACUAUGCUUUGCUUUAACAUCCAGCUGAAGUGGGUUCAGAGUUACUUAGCUAAGGAAAUUCAUCUAGGAUACUAAAUGGAUAUAAAAAUAAUAUUUUCUAACAGGUUUGCAAAAUAUAUAUAUGUCUUUGUCACAAUAAUAAAAUUAGAACCCACCUGCAGUUCUGUGGGGCAGUGGAUGGGGAACCCAACACCCCCUGCCUGCCCGCUGAGACAGGGGCACCAGAUGUCACAGUCCAGCUCCCAGUAACGUUUCCUAUGAGCUGUGGGUGUGCAGCAAAGGGCUUAUCAAGCCCUACAAAGCAAUUUCAGGGCUUCAGACUUUUCAGACAUACUUCUAAGCCAACUUACAUAUUUUUCUAACAAAUAGUUUUAUCGGCCAGAAGGGGAAAAAAUGUUCUGAAUAAAAGUUAUUGUUCUGGAAGCUCUAUAAACUGUGAACUCUGCAAUCACGGCACAGUUAUCUACACCUCCAAUACACAAAGCUAUUCUUCUAGAUAAGGGCCAUCUGUUGCAUUUGUCCGCCCAGCAACUUUUCCCUUUUGGAGCUCUGCCCACCCCACAGGCUGCUGAUCAUGCAGCACAUUUCAGUGCGCACACUCACGUGGCCACAGCUCAGGCAUGGGAGACCGGCUGCACCAGGCCACCCAGACUCACACCUGAAUUCCAGCUGCCCUGGAACGCAUGUGUGUCCUCUGGAUGUGUGGAUAUGUGCCAUUCCUGUGCUGCCAAAGGAAAGGCUGACUGCAGAAAAGCAGGUCCCUGUGAGUGGAAGCUGAGUCCGGGCACACUGGAUGCUGGGGUCCAUGAGGCCUGGUCUUCUCCAUCAUCCCAACCAACACAAUCCCAUUUGCGCUGGUUUCUGUACAUGCGGGACGCACCGAUUAGCCCACAACUGAAAUUUGCACGUCCAGCCAGUCACCCCUGGCCUCAUGCUCUGUCCCAAGUGCAAGUGCACCAGGACAACUGUGGCAAUAGUCACGCUCCACAGCACUGCCCCAGUCACCCCUGCUCUCGGCACCCCAAGGCCUGCAAGUCUCAGAGCUUGCUGGAAGCCCAGGUGGCCCCAGCUCUGUCCUGGGCCUGGUACCGUCGGGUGUCUGCCCCCACAGGCUUCCUGUGGGACAGCUCGUCCUUCAGUUCUUGUGUGCAAGACCUGAAUAUGGGAAAGUUCUGGAUUGAACUCAUACCUGGUAAGUGAACUAAAGACAUUUGGAGACAUGCAACGGCUGAGAGAAGGCAUCACCAACAGGCCUGUGCUCGAGACCCUUGAAGGGCUUUAGGACAGUGACACCAGAUGGACUCAGGAUCUCCUCAAAGGGACAGCACAGGACAUGGUGAGAAGAUGGGUAAGCAGAACAGAGUUUUUCUUAUUAUCUAAGUACUUUUAAAAGAAUUUCUUAUAGCAAAAACAAUGGCAGUGUAUUAUAAGGCUUCUGCCAAAUUCAGGUGCCCACUAAAGUCAGCUGGCAGUGUGAGACAGCACAGCAGUUACAGGGAAUAAGCCAAUGAUGGAAAUAAAAUUGGAUCACAAAAAAUACUCGUUAAUCCUAAAGAAGGCAGGAGAAGAAAGGGAAGAAUGGACUAGUAGAGAAUGAAUAACUGGGUAAUAGAUUUGGACCCAAUCAUACCAAUAAUCAUAUUAAGUGAAAAUGGUUAAAAUACCCCAAUUAAAAGGCAGAUAUCGUCAUGCAGGAGAAAACCUCUCUACUGCCUAGUUUUAAAGAAACCACUUUAAAGAGUCAAACAGAGUUAAACAAGGGGAAAGAUAUGCCAUGAAGACACUAAUCAAAAAAAAGGUGGCGUAGCUUUCUUAAUAACCAAAUGAAUUUCUAAGCAAACAACAGUAAAUUAAUGAGGAUAAA